CACGUAGGGGGCGAGCGUUGUCCGGAUUUAUUGGGCGUAAAGAGCUCGUAGGCGGCUCAGUAAGUCAGGUGUGAAAACUCCAGGCUCAACCUGGAGACGCCACUUGAUACUGCUGUGGCUAGAGUCCGGUAGGGGAGCAUGGAAUUCCUGGUGUAGCGGUGAAAUGCGCAGAUAUCGGGAGGAACACCUGUGGCGAAAGCGGCUCACUGGACCACAACUGACGCUGAGGCGCGAAAGCUAGGGGAGCAAACAGG
rnacentral:rRNA from 1 species